rnacentral:lncRNA from 1 species
AAGGAAUUACGCUUGAGGACUAUUAGUCUGAGUGCACCCGGAAUCUAGAUUUUCGAUACCGGUGAGUGGACUUGUAUUUCAAACUUGUUUUGGGGAAUAUGAAAGAUUCUAUCCAACUUGUCUUAGAAAAUGUACCUUGGGAACAAGCUUUUAGUAAAAUGAUUUUAUAUUGUAAAAAUGUGCUAUACAAUGGUUUAUGUGUUAUCACAAUAUGAUAAAAUGCAUGAUAUGCAUUGGAUGCUUCUUUGCAUGUUGAUUUGGACCCGACUAUGUGCGAGUAGGAGUGCACAUAAGCUGUUGCUGACCCAGCUAUGUGCGAGUAGGAGUGCACAUAAGCUGUUGCUGACCCGACUAUGUGUGAGUGGGAGUGCACAUAAGCCGUUGCUGACCCGGCUAUAUGCGCAUAAGCCGUUGCAUAUGAGAUGAUGAUGAUGGGAUGGUGUGCAUGUUGAUGAUGGGUAUAUGGUUGUAAAUGCAAAUAU